rnacentral:rRNA from 1 species
GACGAACGCUGGCGGCGUGCCUAAUACAUGCAAGUCGAACGGUCUUUUCUAUGGAAGCUUGCUUCCACUGAGAAGAUAGUGGCGAACGGGUGAGUAACACGUGGGUAACCUGCCCAUAAGAGGGGGAUAACAUCCGGAAACGGGUGCUAAUACCGCAUAGUUUUCUUGAUCGCAUGAUCGGGAAAGGAAAGACGGCCUUUGUGCUGUCGCUUAUGGAUGGACCCGCGGCGUAUUAGUUAGUUGGUGAGGUAACGGCUCACCAAGACGACGAUACGUAGCCGACCUGAGAGGGUGAUCGGCCACAUUGGGACUGAGACACGGCCCAAACUCCUACGGGAGGCAGCAGUAGGGAAUCUUCCGCAAUGGACGAAAGUCUGACGGAGCAACGCCGCGUGAGUGAAGAAGGUUUUCGGAUCGUAAAACUCUGUUGUCAGAGAAGAACAAGUUGGAGAGUAACUGCUCCAGCCUUGACGGUAUCUGACCAGAAAGCCACGGCUAACUACGUGCCAGCCGCCGCGGUAAUAC